rnacentral:tRNA from 1 species
GGGGGGAUGGUGUAGUGGUAUAGCACUUGGUGUGACUACUAGAGUCAGCGGGUUUGAAUCCCGCUCCCCCCA